rnacentral:lncRNA from 1 species
UCAGGAAAUAAAAACACUGUAUUUAUUCAUUACAAUUUAUUCACAAGUACAAAUCAAGGGCUAGGGAUGUAGCUCAGUGAUAGAGCAGUGCACACUUCACAUCCACAAAACCCUGGGUUCAAGCCCCAGAACUCAAAAGUGACACAGAGACUAUAAAUGAAUGAGUUCACAAACCAGCACCAACUACCCAAAAAGAAACCAACAUAUAUGUGUUCACCAAUCAGCAAGUUUGGCAGAAAUUAGUGUCCAGAGUUCUGGUCAGGGUCACUGUGUAGGUAUAACUGGUUGAGAUCAGGGGCCACUCGACUGAACUCAAUGUCUAGCCUUGUCCCAUUCUGGCACUCAGGCUGAUCGCCCUUCAAAAUUCCAACCCAACCCUCAAAGCAUAAAGCUGGUCUUUUCUAGGGAUCUGGCCUUCAUCAUGAGUCAAAGCUUAACAAAUCCUGCUGUGCUCUGAGGUUCCAACAUGAACAAUAAUGACACUUCUAGCUAUCACUGAGGAAAUCUCAAAGAUUUAGUUUCCCUCUCAGGAACUGGGGAUGGUUGAUUAAAAUCUUACUAAUAUUUAGAAUGCUGGAGAUGACUUGUGUCCCAGGAGAUAAGGAGACCACAUGUUCCUCAUUAAGGUGGUCCCAAGUCCUAUUCCCAUUGUGGGUCACUCUCUAGUUCUUAUCACAGAUCACCCAACCAACCAUUCAAAAGACAGAGGAGACACCAGUCUCCCCAUCAACUCCAACAGUGCCCCAAGUACCUGAGGAACUAGAGGACAGACCCCCUUCCAAAAAACCCACAGCUUGGCUAGGACAAUUAGAGGUUUUUUGCAAACAGUGAAUAGGUAAGAAGAAAUGGGAGGAAACAUCCUAAAAGCAACAUUCUCCCACCAAUGAAGUGUAUAGAAAGGGAAGAGAGGAGCCAGGUAUUGGUGGCGCAUGCCUUUAAUCCCAGCACUCAGGAGGCAGAGGCAGACAGAUCUCUGUGAGUUUGAGGCCAGCCUGGUCUCCAGAGCAAGUGCCAAGAUAGGCUCCAAAGCUACACAGAGAAACCCUGUCUCGAAAAACAAGAAAGAAAGAAAGAAAGAAAGAAAGAAAGAAAGAAAGAAAGAAAGAAAGAAAGAA